rnacentral:tRNA from 2 species
GGAAAGAUGGCUGAGUGGCCGAAGGCGCUUCCCUGCUAAGGAAGUGUACCCCUUAACGGGUACCGAGGGUUCGAAUCCCUCUCUUUCCG